UACGUAGGGGGCAAGCGUUGUCCGGAUUUAUUGGGCGUAAAGAGCGUGUAGGCGGCCAGGUAGGUCUGCUGUGAAAACUCGAGGCUUAACCUCGAGCUGUCGGCGGAAACCAUCUGGCUAGAGUCCGGAAGAGGAGAAUGGAAUUCCCGGUGUAGCGGUGAAAUGCGCAGAUAUCAGGAAGAACACCAAUGGCGAAGGCAGCUCUCUGGGACGGUACUGACACUGAGACGCGAAAGCGUGGGGAGCGAACAGG
rnacentral:rRNA from 1 species